rnacentral:lncRNA from 1 species
CUUACACAAACAUCCUUUGCUGGGCUCCUGCCCAGCAAUGAACAGAAUGGUUAUGCAACUUUAGUGAGCCUCAAAAUCAUUGGGAAGUGGACAAAUGUUACAAUUCCUGACCCCAGCCACACAGAUUUUCAUUCAAGAAGUCCUUGGAAUCUGCCUUGUCUUAAAUAUGCCCUGCUGGCCUCGUCUGAGCUCAGUCUCAGUGCUGAUGGGAGCUUGGGCUUGUGGAAGAGAGAACUGAACAGGACAAGCAGUGUGAGACUUAUGUAAUGAGUUUAUUCAUUGUAAGUCAUGAAAGUCAUGGCCUGUAUUCUUCAGGUAUAUACCAUCUACUAGAAGUAGAUGGUGCUUAAUAAAAAAAAUAGAAAACAUUGUCUGAGAUUUUACUGAUUUUUAGCAUCUCUACAUCCAUUAUCUCUUUUCAUCUUACAACAACUUAUUGGGUAGAUGUUCCUGUUACCAUCUCCACUUCAA